AACGAACGCUGGCGGCAUGCCUAACACAUGCAAGUCGAACGAUCCCUUCGGGGAUAGUGGCGCACGGGUGCGUAACGCGUGGGAACCUGCCCUUAGGUUCGGAAUAACUCAGAGAAAUUUGAGCUAAUACCGGAUAAUGUCUUCGGACCAAAGAUUUAUCGCCUUUGGAUGGGCCCGCGUUGGAUUAGCUAGUUGGUGGGGUAAAGGCCUACCAAGGCGACGAUCGAUAGCUGGUCUGAGAGGAUGAUCAGCCACACUGGGACUGAGACACGGCCCAGACUCCUACGGGAGGCAGCAGUGGGGAAUAUUGGACAAUGGGCGAAAGCCUGAUCCAGCAAUGCCGCGUGAGUGAUGAAGGCCUUAGGGUUGUAAAGCUCUUUUACCCGGGAUGAUAAUGACAGUACCGGGAGAAUAAGCCCCGGCUAACUCCGUG
rnacentral:rRNA from 1 species